rnacentral:rRNA from 1 species
UAGGGAAUCUUCCACAAUGGACGAAAGUCUGAUGGAGCAACGCCGCGUGAGUGAAGAAGGGUUUCGGCUCGUAAAACUCUGUUGUUAAAGAAGAACAUAUCUGAGUGUAGCUGUUCAGGUAUUGACGGUAUUUAACCAGAAAGCCACGGCUAACUACGUGCCAC